rnacentral:rRNA from 1 species
AUGCAGAAAAAAGUUUCAGGAAGUACUGCAAAAAAAUCCCAAGACAGCCAGUCAUUGUCGCUUCAGUGGCAUCACCAUGCCUUGGAUCUGGAUAUUGCAUCAUUUGUGGUUUGCGAACCAAGAUCAUACAUCUGCAUGUCUCCACAUCCACUCAUAUAUCUGUGGAUACAAAUGUCAGAUCAAUCAAUUCACAUGGAAAGAUUGCAUUAUCUGUGCAAAAUCCUGUAUACGGUGACUGCACUUUCGAGCUGGGGUAUUGAACACAAGAAAGUACAAGCCCUGAAUCAGGAUUCAGUAUCUUUGCCCAUCAUCCUGGCGUCCUGCCAAGUGCAGCUAAGAUGA